CCCUUAGAUGUUCUGGGCUGCACGCGUGCUACAAUGGCGUUUCCAGCAAGUCUGCGAACCCGAUAGGGUGAGCGGAUCUUUGAAGAGGCGUCGUGAUCGGGACAGUUGAUUGCAAUUAUUCGACUCGAACGAGGAAUUCCUUGUAAUCGCGAUUCAUCAUAUCGCGCUGAAUACGUCCCUGCCCUUUGUACACACCGCCCGUCGCUCCUACCGAUUGAGCGAUCCGGUGAAUGUUUUGGACUGGCGUCAGAAGCGGUUCGCUCCUGACACUACGAAAUUUUGUAAACCUUAUCGCUUAGAGGAAGGAAAAGUCGUAACA
rnacentral:rRNA from 1 species